UGGCAUUUGCAUUCCCAUUCCCAUUAAAGCCAUAAUAAUCCAUAAAACAACCAAACUUAUUUUCGUAUACAUAUGAUAUGACCCCAUAAAUAGUAGUGUAAUUUGAUGGAAGGCUAAUUUCACAAAUAGUGACCCAGCUUAGUACUACUACUUUUUUUACUAAUGGUAGCAUAAUUACUGCCCAAAAUCUUGAAGCUUUGUUUAAGGAUAUCCAUCUCACGUUUCAUCUCAUAUCCUGCCUUCUCCAUUGAAGCUAAUCGAGCUUUCAAACUUUGUAUUGUUUCUUCUUUGCUCUUUAGUUCCUUCUUCAUAUCUUCUAUCAUCUCCUCUUCCUCUGUUUUCCAAUUGAUUGCAUCUCCUACAUUCAAUCAUUUAUUUUUGUUCAACUUUUUAACUAUGUAGCAAUGAUUGAAGCUUUCCAAAUGAAAAUUCACUACCAAAAUCUAGAUUUUUAUCAGUGAUAUUCAACAAAUCUAGACUCAGAUGCCAACAUUUGUUAUGUUUUUUUUUUUUUGAAUAUUUGAUGCCCUUUUAUUAAAUGAGAAAAUUGCUUUGUAGCUCUUCCAAAAUAUUAAAUCAUUCAAUUUAAGCUUUGGUUAAAUGAAAAAAAAUUACACUUUCCACCCUUUCAAAAACUACAAAAAAUAGUCAUUUUGUUUGACUCAAAUUACAUUUUAGCCACUUAUAUUUAAAAUAUGUUAUGUUUUAGUCACUUACGUUAUCAUUUUGUUACGAAAUAGUUACUCUAUCGUUAAGCCCUAUUACUUUCUUAAUGACAGUCUAAAUAGAUUUUAAAUGUCAACUUUAAUGUCCAUUUGAGACAAGAAUAAAUUUUUAAUUAAAUAAAUUUAAUUAAUUAAAAAAUUUAAAUUAAUUUGGAAAAAAAUCCUUCACCUCUUUUUUUUUCUCAAAAAACUAUUCUCAUCCUAGUUGAUCUAAUAGAAUAUUCAAAUUGACAUUUAAAACUCAUUUGAACUGUCACCUAUGAUUGCCGUUGGUAAAGGAACUUAACAACAGAGUAACGACUUCGUAACAAAAUAAUAACGUAAGUAACUAACAUGUAAUAUUUUAAAUAUAAGUGAUUAAAAUAUAAUCUAACACAAACAAAAGUAACUAUUUUUAUAAUUUAGUCUUUGUUAAAUUGUACAAAUAUUAAUUUUCUUGAAAGGAUUCAUGGAAGCUUUAAAUGACCCAAUUGAAAGUAAUUAAAGAAGUGAAAGAAUAUAUUGAAAAUGUGAGAGUUGAAAUAAUUAAAGAUAGGUACCAUGAGUUCUUUGAAUGAGAUCAUCAAGCUCAGUCUUGAUGGCAAGAUAGAGUUGUUUCCAUUUCUCCACAACUUCAUCCCUCCUUGCCCUUUCCUCUUUCAUUUGCUCCAAUAAGUAACUUGUCCCAAGCAAUGGCCACCCUUUGUCACAUUUCUGAACCAUCACCAUAGAUGAACCACCUUCUUCCAUUUUCUUUAUCUUCUCUUCUUUCUCGUCCACUAACUUCCUCAACACCUUCACUUCCUCCUUU
rnacentral:lncRNA from 1 species